GUGGGGAAUCUUCCGCAAUGGGCGAAAGCCUGACGGAGCAACGCCGCGUGAGCGAAGACGGCCUUCGGGUUGUAAAGCUCUGUUAUACGGGACGAAUGGCUAGUGUGCCAAUACCACAUUAGAAUGACGGUACCGUAAGAGAAAGCCACGGCUAACUACGUGCCAGCAGCCGCGGUAAUACGUAGGUGGCAAGCGUUGUCCGGAAUUAUUGGGCGUAAAGGGCGCGCAGGCGGUUUCAUAAGUCUGUCUUAAAAGUGCGGGGCUUAACCCCGUGAGGGGACGGAAACUGUGAGACUGGAGUGUCGGAGAGGAAAGCGGAAUUCCUAGUGUAGCGGUGAAAUGCGUAGAUAUUAGGAGGAACACCAGUGGCGAAAGCGGCUUUCUGGACGACAACUGACGCUGAGGCGCGAAAGCCAGGGGAGCGAACGGGAUUAGAAACCCGAGUAGUCC
rnacentral:rRNA from 1 species